GGUAACUCCGGGCCAGCGUGCGCGGUGAUACGGGGGUGGUAGUGGGUAUCCGGAUUUAUGGGGUUUAAAGGGUCCGUUGGCGGGCUUGUAAGUCAGUGGUGAAAUCUCACAGCUUAACUGUGAAACUGCCAUUGAUACUGCAGGUCUUGAGUAAGGUAGAAGUAGCUGGAAUAAGUAGUGUAGCGGUGAAAUGCAUAGAUAUUACUUAGAACACCAAUUGCGAAGGCAGGUUACUAUGUCUUAACUGACGCUGAUGGACGAAAGCGUGGGGAGCGAACAGGAUUAGAUACCCUAGUAGUC
rnacentral:rRNA from 1 species